rfam:Schistosoma margrebowiei strain Zambia genome assembly, scaffold: SMRZ_scaffold0001350
GCACUGCUGAGGAGUCGCACAACAGAACGAAACAGCCGUCCAGUGC